GGGGAUUUAGCUCAGUGGUAGAGCGCUUGCCUAGCAAAUGCAAGGCCCUGGGUUCCAUCCCCAGCUCCG
rnacentral:tRNA from 1 species